CACUGGUCCCAGUGCAGUGGUGUUUACAACUAAUUGAGCACAACCAGUUACAGAUUCCUUUGUUCCUUUUCCACUCCCACUACGUCACCUGACUAGCCUUAA
rnacentral:Y_RNA from 1 species